rnacentral:tRNA from 1 species
CGUUCUGUAGCUCAGAAGGUUAGAGCACCGGGUUUUUAACACGGAUGUCGCGGGUUCGAUUCCCGCCGAACGC